rnacentral:rRNA from 1 species
GAUGAACGCUGGCGGCGUGCCUAAUACAUGCAAGUCGAGCGAACAGAUAAGGAGCUUGCUCCUUUGACGUUAGCGGCGGACGGGUGAGUAACACGUGGGUAACCUACCUAUAAGACUGGAAUAACUCCGGGAAACCGGGGCUAAUGCCGGAUAACAUUUAGAACCGCAUGGUUCUAAAGUGAAAGAUGGUUUUGCUAUCACUUAUAGAUGGAUCCGCGCCGUAUUAGCUAGUUGGUAAGGUAACGGCUUACCAAGGCAACGAUACGUAGCCGACCUGAGAGGGUGGUCGGCCACAUUGGAACUGGGACGCGGUCCAGACUCCUACGGGAGGCAGCAGUAGGGAAUCUUCCGCAAUGGGCGAAAGCCUGACGGAGCAACGCGGCGUGAGUGAUGAAGGUCUUCGGAUCGUAAAACUCUGUUAUUAGGGAAGAACAAAUGUGUAAGUAACUGUGCACGUCUUGACGGUACCUAAUCAGAAAGCAACGGCUAACUACGUG